GACUCGUCACACUAUCAUUAACUGAAUCCAUAGGUUAAUGAGGCGAACCGGGGGAACUGAAACAUCUAAGUACCCCGAGGAAAAGAAAUCAACCGAGAUUCCCCCAGUAGCGGCGAGCGAACGGGGAGGAGCCCAGAGCCUGAAUCAGCAUGUGUGUUAGUGGAAGCGUCUGGAAAGGCGCGCGAUACAGGGUGACAGCCCCGUACACAAAAGCGCAUGUGCUGUGAGCUCGAUGAGUAGGGCGGGACACGUGGUAUCCUGUCUGAAUAUGGGGGGACCAUCCUCCAAGGCUAAAUACUCCUGACUGACCGAUAGUGAACCAGUACCGUGAGGGAAAGGCGAAAAGAACCCCGGCGAGGGGAGUGAAAAAGAACCUGAAACCGUGUACGUACAAGCAGUGGGAGCACCCUUUAGGGUGUGACUGCGUACCUUUUGUAUAAUGGGUCAGCGACUUAUAUUCUGUAGCAAGGUUAACCGAAUAGGGGAGCCGGAGGGAAACCGAGUCUUAAC
rnacentral:rRNA from 1 species